GACGAACGCUGGCGGCGUGCUUAACACAUGCAAGUCGAACGAGUGGCGAACGGGUGAGUAACACGUGGGUGACCUGCCCUGCACUUCGGGAUAAGCCUGGGAAACUGGGUCUAAUAACGGAUAGUGUGGGAUGGGCCCGCGGCCUAUCAGCUUGUUGGUGGGGUAAUGGCUACCAAGGCGCGACGGGUAGCCGGCCUGAGAGGUUGGACGGCCACAUUGGGACUGAGACCCGGUCCAGACUCCUACGGGAGGCAGCAGUGGGGAAUAUUGCACAAUGGGCGCAAGCCGGAUGCAGCCAUGCCGCGUGUGUGAAGAAGGCCUUCGGGUUGUAAAGCACUUUCAGCGAGGAGGCGUUACUCGCAGAAGAAGCACCGGCUAACUCCGUGCCAGCAGCCGCGGUAAUAC
rnacentral:rRNA from 1 species